GUCCACGCCCUAACGAUGGCAACUGGGUGUUGGGAAGCGAUUCCUUGGUACCGUAGCUAACGCGUGAAGUUGCCCGCCUGGGGAGUACGGCCGCAAGGUUAAACUCAAAGGAAUUGACGGGACCCGCACAAGCGGUGGAUGAUGUGGAUUAAUUCGAUGCAACGCGAACAACCUUACCUACCCUUGACAUGUCUGGAACCCUGCUGAGAGGUGGGGUGCCCGAAAGGGAAUCGGAACACAGGUGCUGCAUGGCUGUCGU
rnacentral:rRNA from 1 species